rnacentral:rRNA from 3 species
AGACCCGAAACCCGGUGAUCUAGCCAUGGGCAGGUUGAAGGUUGGGUAACACUAACUGGAGGACCGAACCGACUAAUGUUGAAAAAUUAGCGGAUGACUUGUGGCUGGGGGUGAAAGGCCAAUCAAACCGGGAGAUAGCUGGUUCUCCCCGAAAGCUAUUUAGGUAGCGCCUCGUGAAUUCAUCUCCGGGGGUAGAGCACUGUUUCGGCAAGGGGGUCAUCCCGACUUACCAACCCGAUGCAAACUGCGAAUACCGGAGAAUGUUAUCACGGGAGACACACGGCGGGUGCUAACGUCCGUCGUGAAGAGGGAAACAACCCAGACCGCCAGCUAAGGUCCCAAAGUCAUGGUUAAGUGGGAAACGAUGUGGGAAGGCCCAGACAGCCAGGAUGUUGGCUUAGAAGCAGCCAUCAUUUAAAGAAAGCGUAAUAGCUCACUGGUCGAGUCGGCCUGCGCGGAAGAUGUAACGGGGCUAAACCAUGCACCGA